ACUAACCUAAGAAUUGCUGUGACUCAAUUGAAUUGGUGCUUGUCUUGGCUGCAGUAUUAUCUUUGAAUAUGAGAUAAUUUCAAACUCCACUGUAGGGAUAAAACCAUAUUUUAAGCAAACUCUUUUUUAAAUUUUGAAUCAUGUCUUCGUACAUAGGCUAGCUUUGAACUUGCUGUGUAGUCAACUCUGAUCUUGAACUCCUGUUCUCACUGCCUCCACUGACUUCUGGUAUGAAAGGCUUACCACCAGCAUGCCAAUUUAAAACAAAUUAUUUUUCUACCAUUAGCCAUUUAGAUUCAAAUGUCUGUUGCUUUUCAGCAAUAAAUGUGAUUAAAAGUUAACUACAUUUGAUUCUCACAUGGAAGCUUAGUAUAAACAGUAGGAAUUAUUCAAUAAGGUCAUAUUCCCUUCUGAUGUUUGUACCCUACAACUCCUGCAGAUAUAACUCUGGUCUCUGAAUUUUGGAAUGCUUUAGCAAACAAAUUCGUACUUGCAGGGCUAAUCACUUGCAGGACUCUAUUUUCUAAAGUCAACAUAAGAUUAACAGACUAUUAAAAGUAAGAUUGACUUUAGUGACAUGAACUUCAGAGCAGUAUAAAUUGUGCAGGUUCUUUAUUGAAAAAUAGAAGCUAGAGCAAAAUGAUGUGCAAAUAACACAAAGCUGUGAUUCUCAAAGUAUGGCAUACAUCAUAAUUAUUCCCAAUGAUGUGCUACAGAUUGCUGAACCCCAAAUUUACAGUGUCUGAUUUAAUGUCUUGAUUUCCAACAUUGAUUCUUUUUAUAAUGUAGGCCUUUGAUGAUAUAAAACUUUCCAUAAGGAUUUAGCUGAUUUUUGAUAUGUUUCCAUUUUGAUUUUCUUUUAUAUUUCUUCAACCCAGGGUCAUUUAGAAGCAUCAACCAACUGCAAAUAUUCACACCAUUUUCCAUAUUUCUCUUUACUAUUGUUUCCUAAUUUAACUCCAUGGAGGUCAGAGAAUAUGAUUGUCAUGAUUUGAAUUCUUUCAAUUUGUGAGAUUUUUUAGACAAAGGCUCUUGUCCAUAAACUAUUGUUAUGUGGUAAGCCUCCUUCCUACCACUUGUUCUACUGAUUAUUAGGAGAAGGAUAUUGAAAACUCAGAUUAAAAGUGUUGUAUUUAUUUCUUCUUUCAAUUCUAUGAAGGUUUUGCUUUGUGUAUUUUGAAGCACUCUUGUUAGGUGUAUACGCUGUUAGGGUGGCUGUAGUCUCUUGAUGAUAUGACCUGUUAAUACUCUUUGUGCUGAAAUCCCAGAUUUCUUUUGAGUCGAUUUACUUUUAACAUGGUUAUGUUUUAAUGUGAAUUUAUUAUAGUCAGGUUUGGAGCUGUGUCUUGCUUUUUUUGAUCCUUUUUUUUAAUUAGAUAUUUUCUUCAUUUACAUUUCAAAUGCUAUCCCAAAAGUCCCCCAUACCCUCCCCCCCCCACUCCCCUACCCACCCACUCCCACUUCUUGGCCCUGGAGUUCCCCUGUACUGGGGUAUAUAAAGUUUGCAAUACCAAGGGGCCUCUCUUCCCAUUGAUGUGUCUUGCUUGUUAAAAAAUCCAUUUUGACAGUGUCAGCUUUUUGUUGCAGUGUUUAGAUAAUUUUUGUGUCAUGUAAUUAUUGACAUGAUUGGUUUUAGAUCUACCAUAUGGCUAUUUCCUUCUAUAUUUACUUUUUUUUCAUUUUCAUCUUUUUGAUUAUUAUUUAUGAUUCUAUUUUAUGUCUUCAUGAUGUUUGUGUCAGCUCUUUCCACUGAAUCCUCCAGGAUCUUGGCCCAAACUCUUUCUCUCUCUCUAUUAUAUAGCUCUAGCUGUCCUGAAAUUUACUGUGUAGACUAGGCUGCCCUUGAACUUGUAGUGCCAGGACUAAAGGCAUGUACCACCAACUUGGCCAGCCUAGUCUCCCUUAAAGGAAGACUUCUGUAUUUUUCUGAGCAUUUACAUUUAAUAUAGCAGUUGUACAACAGACAAAUUAUAGAAAUAAUAGCAUGAGUAUAUCUGACGUUUGGAGGAUUCUAUGCAAAAUAUAGACUUGAAGCAGUUAAUCAUUUAUAAAGCCAUUAUAUACAUCUCAAAUAUUUUAUAUUAAUCUGAUUAUUUUCCCUUUGUCUACCAUUAUUUGACCAUUAUGACAAGCUCAUAUGGGACUGAUUAUCAUAUUAAUUUGUUAACUUCAUCUAGCUUCUCAUAUCAGUCAUUUUCCUUUGAUAUCACAUCUCAAAGAAGCGUAAAUAAAGUUGCUCAAUACAUAUAAUUAUCAGUGCAUUAUUUGACCUGUUUAAUAUACUUGAAUUUUACCAGCAUUUCUAACCUUCCACCAUAUCACACAAAUACUGCAUGGUUAGUUUAUUCUACAGGUCACUCAGAUAACCAUUAUACUUUGCCCCCAUAUAAUUGGCUCUUGACCAAGUGCCAGAUAUUGUUUAGGGAAAGGUGAUGUUAUAGUUGAGCAAGAUUUGUUUAUUUCCAGGUUUCAAAUCAAUAUUUUAGUUUAUUCGAGCUGUUGUAAAAAUACCAGUGUAGGUGUUUUGUUUUGUUUUGUUUUGUUGUUUCUCUGUGUAACAGUCCUGGCUGUUGUGGAACUAGUUUAGUAGACCAGGCUGUCCUCAAACUUAGAGAGAUCUGCCUGCCUCUACCUCCUGGGUGCUGGGAUUAAGGACAUAGACCACCACUCCUGGCAGGACUGGUUCUUAUGGCAAAUCUAAGCAUGUAGUUUAGAAUUAUUUCUACGUCUGCUGUAAAAUCAAGUACAACUUCCUUUGCUCUGUUCUUGGCAUGAGGGCAGGCAGUGCAUAUUAGUGUAAGCUGGUUUUGCCUUCAGAGAAUUUGAAGUUUGGAGGCUGAGUUUGGAGGUUUAAAGGAAUUCUGCAAGUGUUGAUGUGCCAUUGUCUAUCUCGAAGGGCUAUUGAUUCAUAUCUGGGGCAGGCUCCAACUGUUUUAAAUUGGUUUAAAGACCCUAUUUGUUCAUGGCUUUGCCCGACUGUGAGUACUAACACUCUCCAGCUUUAUUCAAGGAAUCUGCCUGUCCCAGGUUGCUAAAGCCUUACCAGGCUGAUUCCUGUCUUCUGGAAGAGUGAUCUUUCUACUGAUUUAAUCUACUUAAAUUACCAUUUUCUUCUGAAUGUCAUUCAUUAAAAGGAAAUCUCUUUUGCUCUAGCAGUCACACUACUGAGUAUGUAAGCAGAGAGAAUGAAAUUACCAUGCUGAAGAGACAUCUGCACUCCUGAGUUCAUUGAAGCAGUAUUUUCAUUAAUUAAAAACUAGAAACAGCCAAAGUGUACAUCACAUGAUAAAUGUAUAAAGAGAGGAUGGUGCAUUUAUAUGAUAGGUUACUACUCUGCCAUACAAAGGAAUGAAAUCCUGUCUUUUGUGACACAAUCAGAUGUAACUGGAGAUUAUGUUAAGUGAGUGAAACAAGCCAGUCACAGAUUACACCAUAUGAUUUCUGCUCAUGUAGAAUCCAGUGAAAAAUGAUCUCAUACAAGUUGUUACCAAAAGCUGUGGGGGAGAUGCCCAAAUGGGAAAAGGUUGAACAAGGGUCACUAAGUUACAGUUACUUAGAAGAAAGUUCUGCUGUGCUAUUACAUACUUGUGUGUCUGUAGAUCAUCAUUAAUGUACUAUACAUGAAAAUUAGAAGAAAAUAUUUUGUUAAGUUUUUACUAUGAAGAAGUGAUAAUGAGGAAAGAGAUAAACAUGAUUUAAAUAUUAUACAAUAUGUACAUGUACUGAAAUAUAUGAUAUCUCAUUAAUAUGUACAAAGUUUCUUUUUAUGGCUCACUUAAAAUAAAUUAAAAUAAAUUAAAAAUAAUAACUGACUUU
rnacentral:lncRNA from 1 species